UUUCCUUCCUUCUUCCUCCUUUUCUUCCUUCCUCCUCUCCUUUGUCUCCCUUUCCUCUCCAAAUUUCCCUUUUAUCCUGACUUUAGCCUACCCUACAGUCCCUCAACACAUUUGCAAUCACAAACCACCCCGGUUAUUCCUACGAAGAAGCCACAGCCGAUCCUGGGUGCUGCUCUCCUGAUCCAGCCUGCUGCUGUCAGCAGGGAACCACUCCAUGCAAGGUCAGUGCGGUCCACCCUGUCACCACCACCCGCGUUCCUGCAUGUCCACGGCACGGUACCCUUCUUCAAAAGCAGCAAAGAAUGUCUCUACCUGCAAGCUGGCACACCCGGGAGAGCUCUGGCUAGCCGAAGUGACAUAUCGACGCGUCAAAGGACACAUGCGUAUACAUACACUUGAAAGAUCUGUGUAUCUGUGCGUGCCCAGUGCUGUGUUUGUUGUGAUGCCAAGAGAACCGGGAAGUCAGUGAUGAUGUCACAACCACCAGGCAUCCGGGAGUCAACAGACUGGGCGAUCAAAAUCCCCGAGGAGAUGGGCAGGCACUGCUUUUAAAUAUUGACAAAACCUAAAUAAAAUUACUUCAUCGAAAUGUAAAAUAAAAAAAUGACUUUCGAUCAGGGUGACCAUCAAAGUCCAUUGUGAGAGAAGCGUGGAGCUUACACUACUGCUGUCUUCCAUCUCCCCUACUCCACGGAACCCUCUAGUCUAUGAUGUUACAGAACCUGAUCCAGCAUAAGGAGGUCUCCUGCUCUGAUGAGAUUCUUCUGAACUAAGAAGUUAAAAAUGGGAGUUAAGAAGACUGUCUGAAAGCUGAAGCAAGUGUGCAGUGUUUUCUCUGCUCCCUUUUGUGGGCGGAUCAAUAAAGCGCUCAGCACUACC